UUUUGAUUAUGUUAAGCUUGAAAAAUUUGUGUCUCCUUCGUGUUAGGUUCCUACAUAGACAACUUAAAAAAAAUAUACAAUAAAAAAACUACUAUUAGUCCUACUCCUACAAAGUUAAAAUUAAAAUUAUCCAUAAAUUAAUACAAGUCUUCAAAAAUAAAUAAAUGUUCAAUCUCCUUCUUCAAAAUCCAUCUCCUCACUUCUGCCAUCCUCCUCAUCCUCCUUGCCUUCUUGCCC
rnacentral:lncRNA from 1 species